rnacentral:rRNA from 1 species
AAUAUAAUGUCAAAUGUUUUUAUUCAUAUUAAUUAAUUUUAAAGUUUUUAAUGUAUAUAAUAGUUUAUUGAAAAAAAGUAGUAAAAUGUUUAGGAGUAGUUAAUAAUAAUUUAUAACUUUGAUUAGAUUAUUUUGUUAGUGCUAUUUUAUGGGUGUGGAAAACGUGUAAAAUAAGUAGUAAAAUAAAACAAAAUAAAAUUUACUUAUUGGUUAGAAAUGAAUGCCAGCCGUUGCGGUAAUAUUCAUGCUUUUAAAUAUUAUACAGUUAUUUUAUAUAAUUGUUACUUCAAAAAUUAGUCAAAAAAAAUUAAAAAGUAAAUAUUUGUUUUUAAAAACCAUUUGGUAGAUGCAAAUACAAAAUUAUAGUAAUUAUAAAUUGUAUUAUUUUAUAUUUAUUCAAAUAGAUAAUAAAAAAAAAUUAAUAUAUUUUGACAACAUGAAAAGGAAAAUGAAUGAAAUUGCUAAUUUUAUAAUCGAAAUUUAAUAUUUAUAUUAAAAUUGAAAAAUUAGAUAAAACAUAAAAUUAAAAAGGUAUUGUUGCCCACCAAUUUUUAUAAUAAAAAUAACGUGCAGUAAUUAAUGUAUUUAUAAAA